AGAGUUUGAUCCUGGCUCAGGACGAACGCUGGCGGCGUGCUUAACACAUGCAAGUCGAACGGGAUUUAGUAGACAGAAGCCUCGGUGGAAGAUUACUAAUGAGAGUGGCGAACGGGUGAGUAACGCGUGAGCAACCUGCCUAUGACAGUGGGAUAGCCUCGGGAAACCGGGAUUAAUACCGCAUAAAAUCGUAGAAACACAUGUUUUAACGGUCAAAGAUUUAUCGGUCAUAGAUGGGCUCGCGUCUGAUUAGCUAGUUGGUGAGAUAACAGCCCACCAAGGCGACGAUCAGUAGCCGGUCUGAGAGGAUGAACGGCCACAUUGGAACUGAGACACGGUCCAAACUCCUACGGGAGGCAGCAGUGGGGAAUAUUGCACAAUGGGGGAAACCCUGAUGCAGCGACGCCGCGUGAACGAAGAAGGUAUUCGUAUCGUAAAGUUCUGUCCUAUGGGAAGAUAAUGACAGUACCAUAGAAGAAAGCUCCGGCUAAAUACGUGCCAGCAGCCGCGGUAAUACGUAUGGAGCGAGCGUUGUCCGGAAUUAUUGGGCGUAAAGGGUACGCAGGCGGUUUAAUAAGUCGAAUGUUAAAGAUCGGGGCUCAACCCCGUAAAGCAUUGGAAACUGAUAAACUUGAGUAGUGGAGAGGAAAGUGGAAUUCCUAGUGUAGUGGUGAAAUACGUAGAUAUUAGGAGGAAUACCAGUAGCGAAGGCGACUUUCUGGACACAAACUGACGCUGAGGUACGAAAGCGUGGGGAGCAAACAGGAUUAGAUACCCUGGUAGUCCACGCCGUAAACG
rnacentral:rRNA from 1 species